UCACAUCAGGUUGAAACACCGGCUCCCAUACGAUCACCGAAGUUAAGCAACAUCGAGCCUGGCCAUGAGUGACCGCUUGGGAAUAUCAGGUGCUGUAAG